rnacentral:rRNA from 1 species
UACGUAGGGGGCAAGCGUUGUCCGGAAUCAUUGGGCGUAAAGAGCGUGUAGGCGGCUCGGUAAGUCCGCUGUGAAAGUCCAGGGCUCAACCCUGGAAUGCCGGUGGAAACUGUCGAGCUAGAGUCCGGAAGAGGCGAGUGGAAUUCCUGGUGUAGCGGUGAAAUGCGCAGAUAUCAGGAGGAACACCAAUGGCGAAGGCAGCUCGCUGGGACGUUACUGACGCUGAGACGCGAAAGCGUGGGGAGCAAACAGG